rnacentral:lncRNA from 1 species
GGAGAGCAACAGAGGAGAGAGCAAGUUGUUGAUCUUUAGAUCUCUGCUGUUUUGAAAGUGAUAAGGCUGUUAAACAUCACACAGAGAGUUCUUCCAUAUUACACCUGUACCAUACUAUCGUCACAACCAAAGUCCAUACAGGAGCCCGAGGCUGACAAUAAAGCUGGGUUUGUAUGGAGAAACAGUGAUGGGAGCAAGAAGAUGGCAAAGAUGUUCCAUCUAUUGUUUUCUGGACUGAUAAAGGUGGAUGAAGAUCUUCCUAACUUUCAUCAAGCUUUGGGAGAGGUUGAAUUCAAAGGGUUGCAGGCCUUCAGUUGUCCACUGCGUUCUCCAGACAUCAGUCUGAUGCAUACUUCAACAACAAACGACCAAUACACUUCACUAUUUGCAGUACCCCAGCCUGAUCCGAGUAAGCUGGAAUAUGUACAAAUUUGCAGAGAGACUGAGUCCUAUCAACAGAAGAGUUGCUUUACUGUGCCAAAGUCAGAUGGCACCACCUCCUCUGGGCUCUCUGGUGUAACUCAGUACCAGAGCUAG